GGUGGUGUGGUGUAAUGGUAUCACGCCUCGUUGUGGAAACGCAACGCCGAUGUAAUCUGGGUUCGAUUCCCAGCACCGCCA
rfam:Diplodia seriata DS_831_scaffold_v01_124, whole genome shotgun sequence.